rnacentral:tRNA from 1 species
UCCUACAAGUAAGGUCAGCUAAAUAAGCUAUCGGGCCCAUACCCCGAAAAUGUUGGUUUAAACCCUUCCCGUACUA